UACUGCAGCUAGCAUCUUUCUUCUUCUCUGUGCGUGUUCACCGACGUUUCCUCUCGUCUUUGAUCGAACGGAAAGCAUAAAAAGUGCAAACCUGCUGGCAUUGGGGCAAUGUGAGGGCUGCUGCGCUGCGCUGCAGAGCCGUGGUGGAUGAUUGGCCCCGUUGGGCCGUUCACCACAUCCACUCCAGUACGCUUGUUAGUGAGGAAGCAGAGACACUUCGUUCCUCCCUGCCUGCCGCCACAGGUGUUGUUCUCCAGCUUGUUGUUGGUGUGUAGCUCCCACUGCUGGGACGCCACAGCGCUGCCGCUGCCUUUGAAGUUCAUCAUUAGAAGUUUGGGCAAUGUCGUGUUGUGAAGUUUACUUAUAUUCUUCCCUCCCUGUAGAUGCUGUCAUGAAUGCUGCAAAUUAAGGAGAAUAUGCUGUCAUGCUCUCUCCAAACAAAGGAGAAUCCAGGCAUCAUCCUCUGGGAGUAAAAGGAGAUCAGAUGGGAGUAUCCUCCAUCUUCUGAGCCUCAGUUAGCGGGUGAUUAAAAUAAAUUGAGUGAUUAAUGGCAGCGUCAGUCAGCCAGAGUGGCAGCCAGGAGCAGGGCCCAGAAGAACGCAGUCAGGUCCCUCUAAGGCCGCACUCAGCUAAAGAGGCCGCUCAUCACCUGAAGGUGAACUUACUCACAACGGGACACAUCUGGGUGUGUGUGUGUGUGUGGAGCUAGAGUCUCCACUGUAAUCCGACUAGGUUCGUCAGUGCAGUUCGCUGCUUGAUUCGUUCACAGUGGAGGGUUUUUCACUGAAUCACCUCCUUUCCUCUGUGCUUUCACCCUGUCUUAAUGUGAAUGAUUAUAAUUUACCAAUGAAAGCAAGACCUCUUAGAAAAAUACACUCCAGGGUAGAGAUGAACCGAUUUAUCGACCAGCUGAUUUAUCUGUGCCGAUUUCCCUAAUUUUGGGAAAACGGUGAUCGAUUGAUCUUUACAUCUUAACCACCUAUUUCAUCUCCUCAGCAAAAGUAUUUAAAUCAACUGUUAUCUUCUGCUCUGCUGUGAGAAAGGUUUGACUAACAGACCAGCCCACCAGGUCAGGUCUAUAUGUUUGCAGUUAAUGAGUUGUUGGCAACUCUUUAACCUUCUUGGUACAUUUAGCAACAUUUUAGACAAAAAAAAAAAAUUGGUAUCAUCCAAAAUUGGAAUCGGCAGGUCAGGAUUUUUAAUAGAUCGGCCAGAAAACUGCAAUCAGUGCAGCCCUACUCCAGGGAGGUUUUGGCUCCUACUGGGUUGCAGUUGCUACAUUUGCAGCAAAAUCAGACGUCUGUGUUUCUGUGUGGAUCUCAGCAGGUAACUGGUUUACAGACACAAACACCUUUUAAACUGUUAGCCAGACUCACCUACAAAACCUUACAUAGUUUGUCAUGUCAUGGUGGGUUUUCUGUUUGCUGUUAUGUCAUUAAACCAGAAUAAAGGUAAAACGUCUGCUCCAUGCUCUCUUCCUCUGGUGACAUCACUAUGGGGUGGGGCCUUUAUCUGCAUUUUUUUAAUCCAAUAACCAAAUAUAAAAAGUGUUUCUAACCUCCUGGCAGAAGUUUGCUCCACCUGGACGGACUGUCUGUCAGUCUGUCUGUCAGUCAGUCUGGCCGCGGCUCGCUGCACUGCGCUGCCACUCCAGAUGCUGCUUCAGACGUGAUGUAGGACUUUGAAAGCUGGAUAGUUUGAUAGGCUGGAAGACUUUUAUUUUACCCCAGUGCAGAACUAACAGAUUACAUGCAGCUGUCAUAAGUCCACUUCAUCCUGCAAGAGUUGAUCAAUUAUUAAAAACAUUUCAUUCUGGACUUCCGGUUAUGGCGUCUUACUGAUCAGCUGCUGGGCUCUGAGCUCCGACCAAUGUACCCUGUAUUUAGAUAUCUAGACCACUGCUAAGAUAUUUUUCGUACGAGCAAAAUCCCUGGGACAAGCUAGAGACUCAAUUCAACCUGCCAAGAUGCCGAGCAAAUACACAUUAAAAGCGAAAACAACCAGCAAAGAGGGAUUCGAAGGCAAUGCUAGCAGCGAACUGGAAAACGAGCACAUGGAGGAGGCUAAUGCUAACUCUCAGACCUCUGAAGCUACCCUCCUGGAAGCAAUCCAAGCCUUGAAAACUCACUUUUUACCAAGCAACUAUGGGAGAUUUGAACUUCGAAUCAAGAAAUUAAAGACACAAUUUGAGUGUUCCUCGAGAGGUUUACCUCUGCAAAAUCCCGCAUUAGCAACCUGGAGGAUGGCGUCGCCUCGUUAACAGGCAAAGAAGCGUCCAUACAAAAGAAAAUCCAGGAUCUUUGAAGGUGGAGCUUGAAAACAGAUGCCGGAGAUCCAACCUGAGACUCGUGGGUUUACCCGAGAAGACAGAGCAAGGGGACAUUGCGGCUUUUCUGCAGACCUGGCUGAUGGAGGCCCUGCGGCAGAAUGCAUUUCCAUCCCCCACCCAUUAUCGAGCGGGCCCACAGGCUGCAGGGCCAGAGCGCCCCAGGCCGCCCACCACGCGUGAUCAUCAUGCAAUUGUUAUAGAUCCGUCAAGC